rnacentral:rRNA from 1 species
GACGAACGCUGGCGGCGUGCUUAACACAUGCAAGUCGAACGGAAAGGCCUCUUCGGAGGUACUCGAGUGGCGAACGGGUGAGUAACACGUGGGCAAUCUGCCCUGCACUUCGGGAUAAGCCUGGGAAACUGGGUCUAAUACCGGAUAGGACCUUUAGACGCAUGUCUUUAGGUGGAAAGCUUUUGCGGUGUGGGAUGGGCCCGCGGCCUAUCAGCUUGUUGGUGGGGUGAUGGCCUACCAAGGCGACGACGGGUAGCCGGCCUGAGAGGGUGUCCGGCCACACUGGGACUGAGAUACGGCCCAGACUCCUACGGGAGGCAGCAGUGGGGAAUAUUGCACAAUGGGCGCAAGCCUGAUGCAGCGACGCCGCGUGGGGGAUGACGGCCUUCGGGUUGUAAACCUCUUUCACCAUCGACGAAGGUCCGGGUUCUCUCGGAUUGACGGUAGGUGGAGAAGAAGCACCGGCCAACUACG